AGAGUUUGAUCCUGGCUCAGGACGAACGCUGGCGGCGCGCCUAACACAUGCAAGUCGAACGAGCGAGAGAGAGCUUGCUUUCUCGAGCGAGUGGCGAACGGGUGAGUAACGCGUGAGGAACCUGCCUCAAAGAGGGGGACAACAGUUGGAAACGACUGCUAAUACCGCAUAAGCCCACGGGUCGGCAUCGACCAGAGGGAAAAGGAGCAAUCCGCUUUGAGAUGGCCUCGCGUCCGAUUAGCUAGUUGGUGAGGUAACGGCCCACCAAGGCGACGAUCGGUAGCCGGACUGAGAGGUUGAACGGCCACAUUGGGACUGAGACACGGCCCAGACUCCUACGGGAGGCAGCAGUGGGGAAUAUUGCACAAUGGGGGAAACCCUGAUGCAGCGACGCCGCGUGGAGGAAGAAGGUCUUCGGAUUGUAAACUCCUGUUGUUGAGGAAGAUAAUGACGGUACUCAACAAGGAAGUGACGGCUAACUACGUGCCAGCAGCCGCGGUAAAACGUAGGUCACAAGCGUUGUCCGGAAUUACUGGGUGUAAAGGGAGCGCAGGCGGGAAGACAAGUUGGAAGUGAAAUCCAUGGGCUCAACCCAUGAACUGCUUUCAAAACUGUUUUUCUUGAGUAGUGCAGAGGUAGGCGGAAUUCCCGGUGUAGCGGUGGAAUGCGUAGAUAUCGGGAGGAACACCAGUGGCGAAGGCGGCCUACUGGGCACCAACUGACGCUGAGGCUCGAAAGUGUGGGUAGCAAACAGGAUUAGAUACCCUGGUAGUCCACACCGUAAACGAUGAUUACUAGGUGUUGGAGGAUUGACCCCUUCAGUGCCGCAGUUAACACAAUAAGUAAUCCACCUGGGGAGUACGACCGCAAGGUUGAAACUCAAAGGAAUUGACGGGGGCCCGCACAAGCAGUGGAGUAUGUGGUUUAAUUCGACGCAACGCGAAGAACCUUACCAAGUCUUGACAUCCCUUGACGAUGCUGGAAACAGUAUUUCUCUUCGGAGCAAGGAGACAGGUGGUGCAUGGUUGUCGUCAGCUCGUGUCGUGAGAUGUUGGGUUAAGUCCCGCAACGAGCGCAACCCUUAUGGUCAGUUACUACGCAAGAGGACUCUGGCCAGACUGCCGUUGACAAAACGGAGGAAGGUGGGGAUGACGUCAAAUCAUCAUGCCCUUUAUGACUUGGGCUACACACGUACUACAAUGGCGUUAAACAAAGAGAAGCAAGACCGCGAGGUGGAGCAAAACUCAGAAACAACGUCCCAGUUCGGACUGCAGGCUGCAACUCGCCUGCACGAAGUCGGAAUUGCUAGUAAUCGUGGAUCAGCAUGCCACGGUGAAUACGUUCCCGGGCCUUGUACACACCGCCCGUCA
rnacentral:rRNA from 1 species